rnacentral:rRNA from 1 species
UCGAGGAUCUUCGGCAAUGGGCGGAAGCCUGACCGAGCGACGCCGCGUGUGCGAUGAAGGCCUUCGGGUUGUAAAGCACUGUCGUGGGGGAGAAAGACCGCGAGGUUUGAUCGACCCCAGGAGGAAGCUCGGGCUAAGUUCGUGCCAGCAGCCGCGGUAAGACGAACCGAGCGAACGUUAUUCGGAAUCACUGGGCUUAAAGGGCGCGUAGGCGGGCGAUCAAGUCAGAGGUGAAAGCCUCCAGCUCAACUGGAGAAGUGCCUUUGAUACUGGCCGUCUCGAGGGAGAUAGGGGCGUGCGGAACUUCCGGUGGAGCGGUGAAAUGCGUAGAUAUCGGAAGGAACACCGGUGGCGAAAGCGGCGCGCUGGAUCUCUUCUGACGCUGAGGCGCGAAAGCCAGGGGAGCGAACGG